AACUGGUUCUCAUAUGAUCACCAAAGUUAAGCAAGAUUGAGCCUGGUCUGUACCUAGAUGGGUGACAACUUGGGAAUAUCAGGUGCUGUAAG